AGCUUGAUUCCAUGACCCUAGAAUCGUGACCUGAACUCAAAUCAAGAGCCUGUCGUUCAACCAACUGAGACACCCAGGCAUACGAAUCAUUUCCAUGCAGUUAUAUAAGCUUUACCAUCUGAAGAGUGCAUGUUUUCCAACUGACAAUAACGGUACUAAAUUGCAUAUGUUUCCUCGGCAUCUUGGUGAUUUCACUCACCAUUGCAUGUGAGAUCCACCCACGCUGGUAGGAGCUCAAUCAAUUUGCUUGCCAGAAAGAGACUGACAUCAAUGAAGAAGCUCCCCAAAUCAUUCUAUAAAGAGGUUUCAUUUCAGGAUCAUGUUAAAAAUAAAUUCACCAGGUGGCCCGUUGGAUUUGAGUCGUGCGGUAGCAAUGCAGCAAACGUU